AGAGUUGAUCAUGGCGUCAGGAUUAACGGCUGGCGGCGUGCCUAAUACAUGCAAGUCGAAUGGUAGCAAUACCAUGGCGAACGGGUGAGGUAACACGUAGGUAACCUGCUUUAAGACGAGGAUAACCGUUGGAAACGACGGAUAAUACUCGAUAGGUGAUUUUAGGGCAUCCUAGGAUCAUUAAAGAUUUAUCACGUUAGAGAGGGGCCUGCGGCGCAUUAGCUAGAUGGCGGGGUAAUAUCCCACCAUGGCGAUGAUGCGUAGCCGGACUGAGAGGUUGAACGGCCACAAUGGAACUGAGAACGGUCCAUACUCCUACGGGAGGCAGCAGUAGGGAAUUUUCGGCAAUGGGCGAAAGCCUGAACCCGAGCAACGCCGCGUGAACGAAGAAGUAUUUCGGUAUGUAAAGUUCUUUUAUUGGGGAAGAAAAUAUCCAAAUUGACGGUACCCAAUGAAUAAGCUCCGGCUAACUACGUGCCAGCCGCUGC
rnacentral:rRNA from 1 species